UACGGGGGGGGCUAGCGUUGUUCGGAAUUACUGGGCGUAAAGGGCGCGUAGGCGGCCUACUAAGUCGGACGUGAAAUCCCUCGGCUCAACCGGGGAACUGCGUCCGAUACUGGUGGGCUCGAAUCCGGGAGAGGGAUGUGGAAUUCCAGGUGUAGCGGUGAAAUGCGUAGAUAUCUGGAGGAACACCGGUGGCGAAGGCGGCAUCCUGGACCGGUAUUGACGCUGAUGCGCGAAAUCCAGGGGAGCAAACGGG
rnacentral:rRNA from 1 species